rnacentral:lncRNA from 1 species
GCUGCAGUGGUGAGCCUGAGUAGCUCUAUGGAGGAAAGGUAUUAUUAGCUGCUAUUCAGCAUUCUCCUUCUUCAGAGUGUUCCACACUGAUGAGAUCCUUCUGAGUCUUUGUCUAAAUAUAUGUUUCUAGAAACUCUGGCUCGUUGCUCUUAUUUGCCAUUCCAUUCAACCAUGUAUAGACGUGUCCAACUGCUCCCAACAUCAUUGGAUUUCUAUACACCGCAAGAGGAAGUCAUGGACACUUCUUCAAUCAUAUGACAACCAAAUACACAACCCAAGGACUAAUAUUUGGCCAUCUUUGUUUAAGAUGAAUGGCAUCUUAAAAAUUUACGUCAUGUACAGUAAUCAUCAUAAUCAUAUGGACAGCUCCUGCCAUAGUGUCUUUAUUCAUGACUUUUGCCCUUUAUUCUUGAUUGAUAAGUGACAGCUUUGCAUUCUGGACCUUGAAAUAUAUAUUUACAGUAGUCUAAGAAAUUUGUCCUUAAUCAAAGGAGGCUUGACUUGCCAGCACAUCUUUAGAAUAUUAUUGAGUAACUCAUUAAAAUGUUAAUAGCUUCUGUCAGGAUUUAUUGAUCCUGAUGUCAGCUUUUCUCAGAAUAAGA